AAAAAAAACCUCAGAAGGUACAACAUCGCGACAGAUCCCGAUUCGCAGCUACGUGCCACCAUUCAUUGAAAUUCUCGAGAGAUUCGAGGGGAUCAUCGUCGCUUGUUUUGAAAUCUUUCGUUUCUGAAACUGUCCCACUUUAACUCUUUCACGCAUCCGGAAAGAUUUUCAAAUUCAUUUUUGUACGAACUUUGUGUUAGAGCAAAAUUAAGUUAAGUUAGGUUCGAUGACUUCUGGUAUCUUCUUCUUUGAGGAAAUACAGGAUGGACGGAAGGAUAUAAAUGGAUUUAAAACGGUAAGAAAUUUUUUUAUUUUCAACAAAUUUUGACGAGUAUAAGAAAGCCGAGAAGUGCGAAGUAAGUACAUUAGACACACUUUGCGUUAGAAUACCAUCAGAGAUCGAGAUUUACGCGAGUUUUACAUUCCAGGGAACGACGAAAACGAUCCAUCAUUUACUCGUGUCCGACUCACCAAAGUACCAUCCCCAAACGUCGGUAAUCCCGUAUCACCGGGCUAGCACCAGGAACUUUUCUGAAAAACACAACUUUUUCCCGGCGUUCUACUUGCCACCUUAACGCGUUCCCAGUCCUACUUUUUGUUCCUGUCCGGCAAGAACUGGGAGCAAUGUUUCUGCAUGUAUCACGUUACCAUAUACUGUAUAGAGACGAGAAGUAUUGGCUGGCAUAAAGGUAGAGGGAAAGAAAGGAAUACUUCUUUGCUCCACCUUCUUUAAUUAGUAGAUCUGAUGGCAAUAACGACCUUGUUUAUUUGACUGCACCCAAAAUGAUAGCUCCAUUGCAGUAUAACUAAUCAGAUCCGCAUUUCUUUCAGUAGCCAACUUCUCAUCUCUGCACAUCCCAUACGUGCAUCACUGGAUUGAUAUGUAAACGCGUAAACCAGAGGAGGAUGAAAUAGAGGUGUAGGAGGUGGAUGCCCCAGGUGACUUGCUAAGAAGGCUGUAAGCCGCGAGAACCAUCAGAAAUUUCGUGAGAGCCACUGAACCACGCCACGAUGAAUAUUUCUCCAGGACUACGGAUUAUCAUACGGAAUGAGAUUGCGCCUGAAUCAUUGAUGAACCGUUGCUCGACCGAUAUCGCUCGCGAAUUUCAAGCGUGAAUUGAGUUUAAGGUAACGACUGUGAUUUCAUCCGGAACUUACCCUUUCACGGUGCGCGAGCUGCGUUAGGAAAUGGGGAGUAAAGUAGGAAGAAAUAGUAUUUUGUUCGUGGUCUAGCAGAUUCUGUCAGCGAGGCUACUUAUAUGAAGCACUAUUAUUCCGUAAGUAUAUAUUCUAGUUGAUUCCAUUUACAAAAUAACCAGACGUCCACGAACGUGUGUAGUUGUUCAUGAUAAGACAUUUGUGAUAAUUUUUAGAAUUUUGCAAAAGUUUAUAAUUCACCAAGUUUCAUUUAAUUUUACGGAUAAAAUAUGACUUUAUAAUACAGUUUUAAUGUAAUUUGUCAUGAUAGAACGUUAAUUUAACAUGUCGUAGCGAGAAGAAACCGUAGUUGCUUUAAAAUACGGACAGCAAUUUCGUAUGAUGCUGGAAAUCGGUAGAAACAAGGGGUACACGAUCGACAAAACGAGACGAAUGCACAAACAGACGCACAUCAUUUGUUCAACGUCCCUCGCCGUUGUUUGCAUCGUGCAACCUGCACCCCAAAUAAUCGGGACCAGUCCUUUUCUCCUGCUCGUGCCUACCGACAAAUUGCGCCCGUUUCCUCCUGGGAAUCCACGAAGUUAUGACCGAGGCUGACGACUUUCCGACUCGCGUAAUUACCGUUCUGGGCUCCUGCCCUCAUGAACUCGUCCCAAAAGUAUCGGAAGCCGUACGCACCCCCGCCUUGGACACGUGCGAUCAUUUUCGGCCACCAAGUCAAGUCGUAACGCGAUAAAGAAAACGUUUAACUUGCAACAGCAUUCGAAAGACUAUACCCUAAAUUACUAACAAAUUAAAUGAACACGUUAAAUUAACAUCUAAAAUUGCAUUAAAUGGCUAAUUUUAAGAAUGUGAUAGUGAAAUUGAAAAACGUUGGUAUACGCCUUGUUUAGGGUUAAUAUUAACUCAUAACAUCCCUUAUUCAGUGAUUUGAAUGAAAUUUUCUGCUUUCAUAGUUUGAUGAAACCUACGAAAUGUAUGCAAGGAUUGGUACACGAAUCUUUCAACAAAGGUAUUGGAAAUUAAUUCAAUUCUGAAUUGUUGUUAUCUUAGCGACUCGUCGUCCGAGACUUGAAUUUGAGAAAAUCGAACGUACCAAGAUUAAUGGCGACCAGGUUUUUGCAGCUUGCUAACAAAACCGCGAGGAGCAGAGUGUGCGGACGGUGCAACCAGGUUACUGCUGUUUGCGCCGAUCCGUACAUAGCCAGUUCCUCCUGUCGAGUGCAAAAGGGGUGGAGAGUGCAGGAAUAGAGAAAUAGCAGGGUUGCGCUAGGUUUUCAGACGUAUAUAGGUGGAAUAUCGCAAGGAAAGGCGCACAGUGGUUGCGCGCACGGCCACCCGGGGCGUGUCCGGUGCCGCCUUCACAGCCAGCUACCCACUGUGAAAUCCAGCAACCCCUAGAACCCCACUCUGACGAUGCCACCUAUGCACCUUAACUCUUAAUUUCCAGAGACCUCGCUCUUAAUUGUCGAGCACUGCUCCGGCCCACUUGCACCUGCGCGAUCAACGCGUGCAGCUGCAGCCAUCUAGAACGUCGCCAACUUCUCUGUCUUGUCGCGAAUAGGGACCACCUUUGGAUUAUGUUUCAGAAAGGAAUUUCACGAUGUUGUUUUACCUUUAAAUCAUUUUAAUCUAGCUUGUUAUAUUAAGAUAAGAGGCAUAGGUCGUCUAUCGAUAACACCCUUGAACCAUAGUCUCUAGAAAAACGGUACUAAGAAUAUAUCUUUUCGAGUUUCAAAAUGGUAGACAUGUUCUUCGUUCAGCUCUUAGAAACACGACUAAAAUCAUAAAUCUUACAGUAAGGGUAUUUUCGAUUUUGCCAUUUUUUAUAUCGUUUUUCUUAUAAUUAUUCUUUCUUGAAUACUUUUUCCCAUACAUUGUCGAUGUUCAAGCAAAGUUGAGGGUAAGUGAGUAAUUUCGAAGAGAAACUUAAUCCCGAUGAACUGGCUGGCAUAUGGUGCGAGGGGUGGAAGCGUAGACGAGGAGAAUCUCGCGUUUAUAAGAAAAAGCUGUAAACUGCGGGCAACCUUUUGCUGGUGAUAUUAAAACGGUAUGAAGAUAAAUAUCGUCUAUCCGGUUGGAGAAGUUGAGAAACUUCUGAAUCAUGAAAGUGUAUCCUCGAACUUCGAUCGAAACACUUGUUUCAAACAAAUGCCCUUUUUAACAAUUUCCUAUAUCUUUCUGGGAGUAUAAUUAUGUUAACAUCGUAAAUUAUGAAUUAGUGUUUCAAAUCAUAUUAAAUUGAAUCGAAGAGCCUUUUUCUUUUUCUUAUAGUAUUUGAAAAAGUAUUAAAAUAUAUUUUUUUGGUGGUUUAGAAAGUUUCGAAAAUAAAUUGGGACGGUGACAAUCGCGUAUUUCUAGAGGUGGCAACGACUUCGUGUAUGCGCGAUAGAAAAAUAUGCUUGUACAUUAUUUAAGGUCGCGACGCACGGCGUCUCCGGAGAUUCGAAGGCGAGGCGGUACCGACGUCACAGGUUUCCAUCUAUCCAUCUGCAUAUGCUUUGAAACGAGGAAUGCACGAAGAGGAUGCUUCUCUAUAUGGAUCUGAUCUAUACUCCGUCUAGCUUGAAAAACGAGGAAACAGAAAGAUCGAGGUGCAAAGGAAAAAAAGCACCCAACCCCUCGUCCUUUCUUCAACAUUACAAUCUAUCCUUUGUAAAACGUAGAAGCAGGUUGUACAAUUUUUUUUUAGUUAUAACUACUUGUUGUUGAUGAAUAUGUUAGUAUUUCCGAGAAAAUGUGUUUGAUGAAGAAGAACCAGGGUGUCUCAUAAGGGUAAGAGGGGGUUCAUUACACUUUGUUGAGAUUUCAAAAAAAGUUAGGAUUAGUUAUUGGGAAUUUAUUUCAGUUCGUUUAGAUGUUUAGAUUGUUCUUGACUGAAGGCGAGGCGACAGAAACGAUUGCAAGUUGAUUCGUCGCUUCGAAGAGGGUAGACCAGUUUCCAAAGUCCGAGUUUCAGCCCCGAAGGAGCUGACCUCCAUUACGCGGGGUUAACCGCUCAGUCUUCUCACUUCCGGUAGACUUUGAUUGGCCUCGCAAUCCUAUUAAUUCCAGACAUCGUUCCUUGCUGAGUUUCCUUAUUUCCUGAAGAAACAAAGCUAUCUGACACUUUGGUUUCAACUUUGACAGACUUUGGGGUAGGAAACACCCGAGGAGGUUGACUCUUACGUGACAUUUAUAAUGAAGAUUAUUAUGAGAAAAGAAAAUAUAUCUCAUAUUUGUGAAAUCGUAAGAGAAGUCAAAGGUGGCGCGAUUAUGCUGGUGCUAAAAGAUUUUAAUGAUUUACGUAAAGUGUGAUCACUGGAACGUGAUCUCGAACAUGAAACCAUCGAGUGCAGGUUGUCCCAGGAGACAGUGAAUUUCGGAGGAAAAUCGAAAGGUACGGUAGGUCGAGUUACCCCGCUAUACAGCAGCAAUGCUACUGUACCAUGGUCUAACCGACCUUUUCACUUCCCUUUCACCCCCGUCGCGGACGCAGUCACUGCCGCCAACUCUAUUUAUCAAAUGUACGUUUAAUUUUUUCGCGGGUACAAUCAUACAUCAUCCUCGAGGCGUGAUCCAGUUAAGGCUGGAGGGUCGGGACGGGCCGGGUCGGCUUCCGUAGACGUGGCAGGAUUACCAACCGAAAAAUUCACCGUAAAAUGGAACCCCACCUUCUGCUUUUCACGCGAAUAACUGUGCUCCCGUUUUCAGCUCGGAAUUGCUACUGAUAGAUUGACCGAACCGACGAAAGUAGCUACGUCUCGUACAGUUUUAAAGGAAACGGAAGAAUGCACAACUGAAAUAUCGUUGAAACACACGAACAGCUCGAGGACAGAAUCGACAUGUCAUGCCGACGGAAGAAAUUUUCGUGAAAGUCGUUUCUAUCCGAACUGAUACCUCCUGUCAUGACGUUGAUACCCCCUGAUCGGAGUUGCCCUUUCUCUGGUGAAAGAAUUCCUGUCGGGAAAUAGAGCGGUUAUCGUUUACCUGUACUACUGCGGUUAUCGUUUACUUGUACUACUGCGGUUCUAAAAUAUAUGCAUUUGAUUUGGAAAAGAAGAAUUGGGUAAAUAUAAUCGUAAAAUUUUAAAGGAUAGUUUCUUGUGGUAUAUAAAUUUAGGUUUUAGGUUUGAGGGGUCAAUCAUAGUUUGGACAUAUAUUUGUAAUAAAAUUUUUUUUUUUACAGGGUGAUCCAAGAGUCCAUUUUAUCUAACAGAAGCAACGAAAGGAGAAGAUUCUCGAAGAUCUGACUUCUUCUAUAUAGUCACAGCAUCUUCUAUACACAAGAUCGUAUCAAAAGCAAAAAGGAAGGUUGCGGCUGGCAGAAGCCACGGUGGCUGCGGCUCAGCCCCGAGAAAUUAUGGCUCUUGUCACGGCUGUUCAUUUGUAGAUGGAGUUUUUGCUCCCCGAGGAGGCUGCCCCAAUCACGAGCCGCGGAAAUUGCACCCCCCAACCCCUUCCCUUACUACUUCGCCUUCCCAUCCCCUCAGCCAGAUCCGGAGAACUAUACCCCUUCUUUACUCUCCUUCUUCCACUUUCGGUGCUUCGAAACCACCCCGUCUUCCUUCUCCCUUCUUUCUCUUCUUUUUUUUUUCUACUCUUCGUCUCAUUCUACCUUUACGCCGAUGCUUUACCACCGUCGAUCUAUUGACGCCCCCGUUCGCUCGAGAUGAUUUAUCGAAAAUUGGAAACCUGACGAUUGUCGAUCGUCACCCCUCUCCUACCGUUCCAGACAACUGCGGGAAUUUCGUUUGAGAGUUAAGAAAGAAGAUUUUUGUUUCACUGUGUCGUGAGAAAAUCCUUUCAACAUGAUUUUCCUUGCGACAAAAAAGAAAUGUGAAACAAUUAUAUAGGGAUGUAUUUCACCCUCUACGACUCGAAUUUUUUAUUUUUUCAAAAAUCAAUAUCGAUUACCCAUAGAAUAUAAAUUUACUUUUUAUUAGGAAUUUAUUUAUUUAUUUCUAAAUUUCAAUGCUUAUUUUUUUAAGAAGAAUUAGCAAAUUCUACGUUGUUUACAUUUAAUGCUUUUGUCACGAGUUUUAUAAUUUGCUUAAUCGUCCACGAGAGUUUCACUUGUCACUAAAAGAAGACAAAACUUUUCCGAUAUGUUACAUUCAGAGGGGAACGAAGCGGUGUUGAGUCGUUGCGAAAACGACAAACAGCAAUCACGGUAUUUGAGGCUUUUAAUGCCAAACGAUUUAACGAACAGUAUAUCAAUUUUCCUCCCCUGUGUUGUGAAACAUUUGCUUAAAUUUCACACGUUAUUAUCAAAAUUCUUCAUAGAACAGAGUUCAAAAUUUGUCUAGAGUCAUACAAGACCCCAGUGUGUAAUUUUAAAAUUCACUUUAGUAUUAAACUUUUCAUUUAAUACCUCGGGCAUCAAUGUUAUUUAAAAUUCAUUUACAUUUUUUCUCUCUCAAUUACUCAAUUAUAUUAAAUUCGUGAUGUCAUCCCCUCCACAGCAUCGAACGUGUCGAAAAGCUUCCCGAGUCAACGCAUCACACACAUGAAAAACUCUGACAUCAAAGCAAUUUUCUCUGGAAAUUUUCUGUCCUCGAUUCUAACUAAUUUGAACGCAGUUACUCUCUGAAAUAAAGGAGACUCAUUUCAAUCGUCUGGAAUCGAUUUCCCAUGUGAUAACGUCGUAUGGUAAUUCAUGCAAUUUCCUACAUUCUCCCCCUCUCCCUCCCCGGCCCACGUUCCAUCGAAGAUAAAGUAACGUUCCUGUAAUUAAAGUUGCUGUACAUCAGAGAUACGGGAAACCGUGAAAAGGUAGAACCGAGGUAGGAUCCAUCACGAUCCGGUAACGAAGGCAUCAGCUGAUGACACAUUUUAAUAUCUUAAAACAGGCAGCUGCUUCCGUCGAAGCUCAUGGUAGGAAGAGAAAAGACAACCCUGUAGAAGAAGAAGAGGCCCUCUAGCUCGCGCAGCGAGGGCUGCUGCAGAAGUGGAGGAGGCGACAAGCGAAGUCCCCAGAUUUAAGGGCCACCUAUUCUCCCUCGUCUGCGUCUUCGCUACAAGAUCCCGCGGGCGAAGAAUUUUCCUCCAAAGGAGCAUUCGAGCACCAGGGUUUAUGGAUUUUGGAUUGUUCCUUGAUGUUGGUUAAAGAACCUCUGAAAUCAGUUCAGAAUAGCUCGAGAGAAGAUAAUGUAAAAAUUACAAAAAUGUAUUGAAAGUUAAACAUUUGUUGUCAUUGGACAGUGUUUACUUAAUUAGAAAGGGUUCGCCGCAGAGGACUCUCAGACCUUCCCUCCUUUGGAUAAUGGCGGAGACGUUGGACCAAGGGUGUCGAGUUAGGUGAGCACAAGCUAGAAAUAUCAUAGCGACGUACCUCUGAGAGUUUAGCGCCGUUGCCUCUGGUGGAGAAGACACGAUUCCUUGCGUCAAAGAGAUCGAAAUUGAAAAUUUGAAUGACAACCAUGCACUCUGGUCCGGACGUGCGUCGGGGAUAUACGCGAAGGUGGAUAGUGUAACCGGUCAGGCGAAAACGGACGACGUUGAAGUUUUUAAUACUGGCCGUAAACAGGCAGCAUCUACCUCUGGGACGAACUUUGAAUUAGCAGAGACAUAUUCAUACGAAGAGUUUGCAUCGGGGGGACGUUCCUCGGAGGGUACUCCGUCAUCUCACUGCUUCUCUCGCUCACCUCGUGCCUUCCCUGUACUAUCCCACGGACGUCCUUAGGGAGAGGCUGCUCAUUAAUUAAGUCUUUUUGCAGACUGACCCGCACAAGUGGCAGCGAAAGCUUAAAAAGCCACCCAGACCUGUAUCACCUACACGCGACAGUCUCAUAUUCGUUUGUUCGCCGAUACUCGACGAUAUUAUGUGAGUUUAUGUUUGUCUUGCCCCUCUCGACCCUUUAGACCUUCUCCAUUUUAGGUCUUAAAAGUGGAGACAGUACUCUAUAUACGCUUCGAAAUUAUAAGGAUAUCGAUAUUAAAAGUAAUAUGUAAUUUUUAAACAAGGGAAUGACAAUAUUCUGAUUUCCUUCAUUUGAUUACAAAAGUCACGUUUGUCUACGACUGCGACUACGAAACGUUUGAAACUUUGAAGAGGCCUGUAGGACGGUGCCAGGUCGCAGAAUGGUCGCAAGUGAGUUUCCUCGGCGAGUUAGCGGCAAAUUGUUAAGGGAUAGGGAAUACUACGUACGUGAACAUGACAUCUGAGCCGUGCCGGAACUACGGGAACGUACAUAUUGCCUUCACUCACGUAUGCAAAUAAGUUUCAGACCAGUCCGAAGAACAGCGAAGGUGUGAAAUGCAACAAGAACAAGUGAAUUCUGACUACGAUACCGCAUGAUAUGUAAGUAUUCUUAGAAUGUUUCCAUCACGCAAACUUAUAAUUAAUUCCAGCUUCCUACGAAUCCAAACGUUUCGAACAUGAAUUUAUUGAUCCAAAAUUCAUUUUUUCAAUUUCUUGUAUCAAUUCUACUUUUUUCAGAGGAAAGCUUAUACAUUUUCUUUAAAUCCAGUACAGAUUAUAUGAAAUUUAUUUUUUCUCCUGGACUCGUGGCAAUUGACGAAGAGGAAACGAAUGGUAGGGGAACGUUUUCGACCGCGAGAUAGCCUUCACCCUCUCUCACUAUCGCCAUGGCCCAAACGAAACAAACAAUAUGUUAGCAACCCCCGACGAUAUUUCGAAUUUGAAUUUAAAUAACUUGGCAGGAUCGGCUUUGGGACUCUGGGACCACGCACGAGUGUUCCUUCUUUCAUUUCUCGUUUUACCUCUCCCUCUCUCUCUCUCUCUCUUUCGCACUUCGCUUCCCGUUCUUCAACGUUUCGCCUCUUUUCCUCGUUUCCGUACGUGCCACGAUAUUUGGCUCUGACACACCGGUAAAUCCUGACUUAUAAUGUCGGUUCCUCGCAAUCGCGAUCAUGGGUGAGACAUGGACACUGACCCGUUUGUUAAUUCUUAAUUGAUCUAAUAUUUACAAUAUCGUACGAGUCGCGGAGACCUGGCCAGAUUUCCCUUGGUGACCCAAGUCACGGAGCUCUGCGGUUAUAUUGAAAAAUAUUGAGCCGUCGAAAUGUUUGAACGUCCUUUACCUCCUUCUCUUUGCAAUUUUUUCUUCUUUUUUUUCUGACCCUAGACCCGAAGCUUGAUUAAAGUUUACUCACCGCGAGUCGGCAAAUAUGUCGUUUAAAAUGGAUUCCCGUUCGCGCCGAUACGGUUUCUUUAUAAAUACAAGAAUUUGUGAGAUAACUUUGAAUCUGCAGCUCAAUAAUUUUAUUAUAAUUUAAUAUGCUCCUGGUUCACUUUGGAGAAAUGUUGAAUAUCAGAUUGCUUUGAUCCUUAGAAAAUGAUCAGGGAACAGUAUAAAUGUCUACAUAUAUCAGCGACGUUUAUCGAGAACUCAUCGUUUCGUCGGUGGUCCCAGGAAACACUGUUAGAAUUCACGAGGAAGCGGUAAGAUUGACGCAUGACGGUAGACGGUUGCUGCAUUAUUCCCUCAACGAGAUGUAUCCGUCUUCGGGCAAAUGGCGCGUGGUAAGGAUCAGUCGAGCAGGCGGUGUCGCCUCGGCUCGUACCGAGUGACAACGUUAAUAUUUGAGAAUUCGCUUAUCGUGUGCUUAAUAUGCAAGGGUUAAUAUGAAGGCGCCCCCCAGGAGUCGUAAGGUGGUAGCGCACGUAUGCCGGCUACGUCCAUGCCACCCUUUACCCGCGAGUAACCCAGGGCUAACACUCGCUGCAUAUUUCAUAUUUAUAUUAACCUGAUUAAGACGUGUCGUCCCACGGCUUAAUGCAGAUAUGUGGAGUUUGUUUCUGAACUGGCAUUCAUUUUAAUGGAAUUUGUAAUUAAAUGAGCAAUGCCGCACCUCUUUCUGUCUUACCAGCCUGCCGGAAACCGACCCUCCUACGAUCAUUAGAACGCUUUCGAUAUCUGCUUUCCUCGAUUUCCUCGAUUUUCACGUUCUCUUCUGAAAUUACGAGAUUACUGUGAAAUGGGUCGGCAUUUCCUAUACGUAAGCCUUGAUCUCGUAAACUGACAUCGAUGUAUGUUACGUUAUUUCAUUAUAUCAUCUGCAUAUCAUUGAUUAGUUAUUAGCAUAUUAAUACUUGAACGAAGGUUUUCUGUCCAAUUUCUUGGGUGACGAUAUUUAACGAGUGUCGUUGAUAAUGAAUUCCGUUUGGUACGUGUACACCGAGCGGUUCAUGAAUAUUGCAGGCUAGAGUGCGCAGUAUUAUUCGGUUACGAGGCGUGAUUAGCGUCUUCGUCAACUCACAUCAAACUUUCCCGAUUAAUCAAGCUAGCUUGCCCCUACGGUGCCUGGUUUACGCUAUCUCUCGCCAUCUUUCUCCUCCGUUUGGUUUCCGUUUCUCGUUCUAACCUGUGGCCUUCCCUUUCGCGGUGGUGACGAUGCGACCGUAAUGUAAACUAAUUAAACUGGAGGCCAGGCACUAAUGUGUCCAUUAUGUCGUCCUGCCCUCGUCCGAGCUUCGCACCGGACCCUCAAUCCCUCUUUCCUCCUCUCUUCCUUUCCUAUCUCUCACGGUUCGUUCACUUUCUGACCCUGAUCCAACCGCAAUCUGCUGGAAACGUUAAAUAUCACACCCAACUGCGUUUUAAUCCUCGUUCCUCUGAUGAAUGACCAUUCAGACUUCUCUGUAUCGAAGGAUCUCGAAUUGCAAGUACCUUCUGAAAUCACUGCAAUUUUAUUGAAGCAAAGCGAGCGUAGGGGUAAAAACUUGUCAAACUUUUAAACUCUAAUUAACCUAGUAUUUUUACGUGUACACUUGACUUAUAUAAAAAUAGAUACGGUAUUUAGUUAACAUUGAACGAACACCGAUCAAUUAUAGCGACGACAAGUUAUUAACCUAGUUACUCUGUUUGAAAGAUGAAAUUACUUAACUUAUUUAUCCUUUGAAAGACGAAACUUUUUUCAUCCUUCGAGGACCAAGGAGCUUGAAGUCUGUCCUAGUUUGUUCUUUAGCUAAACGUAUUAAAUCGCAAAUUAAUUUACCAAUUAAUAAAUGAAGAAAAAAUUGAAGACAGUGCUUGUGUUACAAUAUGUAUUAAAAAAUGUAUUGUAACGCGUACAUCGUUUCUAGAGGGAUUGAAAUGAACUCGAUUCCUUUUGAUUUCUUCUGUUGGAUCAUAUUUUUUUAUUGGACAAAAAUCAACAAACUUACGAACAUAUUCGACGUAUUGAACAUCUCGAGCAACAAUAAGGGGCGAACAAAGGGCUUCGUCAAAAUAAUUAAGUGCAUCGUACGCCAUUCUUUCUUCUCCCUGAAAAAAUAUCCAUCAACCCUUAGCAGCGCACCCCCAAGUAUCAACGAGGGGGCGCGACUAUCAAUUAUUAACACCUCCAUCUGUUGGUACAUCUUUCCGGAGCUCUCUACUUGUACACUAUUACACAGCGACCCAGCUACAUCCUAUUACGUGUUGCAGUGGACCUCAUAGUAAAUGUAUCUCUCGAUUUCCUAUCAUAUGGCAAGAUCACGAAUUACAAUUCUGAAUAAAGUUCCUAAUUUUUAAAUAAAAUGGAACAGUAGUCUAAUAUUACAUUUAUUAAAAAUGAAAUUAUUUUUUUUCUUAAAGGUCGAAACUGUUCAAGAGUGUUUUAUGUGAUGGUAAAUGCAGCAGUGUUUUAAUCAAGUGGCGUAGCAUAUUGCAUCCUGGGUCAAAUGCGACUCUACACCAUCCACCCUGCGGGGGUUCCUCUUACAAAUUGCUACCUACGGUGCCCCCUCUCAGUUAUGUCAACGAUACGUCAUGACUCCCUGAAUGCAUUAUUGCUGAAUUCGACAUUAGACUGCAAUGUGCAACCUAUCUGCUGCUACUCUAAAUGUUUAAGGUUAACGAAGCAUUUGUUGCAAACGGACCUUAAUGAAACAAAGAACAAAGGUCAGUAGGUAUUCCUUUUAAGCUCCUUUGACCCCAUGCUUCGUAUGACCAACAGAAAUUCCGUUACAUAUAAAUUUCUAUAACUUUUAAGAUAAUUAUAAUUUGAAGCUGUGAUUUUUCUGUUUACAGUCGAAAUAAUUAAUUAUUUUAUUCUAACAUUCAAAUUCCAUA